rnacentral:rRNA from 1 species
GCGGCAAGAGAAGGUGUUAAGGUUGAUUUUUUUUGCUUUAGGGCGAAUCCGGGAAUUUUAAUGGUUGUUAGUCGUAAAUAGGUUACCAGCGGUAGCGGUGGAGGAAGAGGCGGCGGCGGCGGCAGCGGCAGCGGGCGGCCUCGAGGGGCCGAGUGGAGGUCGAGCAGCGAGCGGCGGCGGAGGGCAAGACGUGGCGACGGAGGAGAAGGAGGCGCGGGGGACGACGACGCCGCCCGAAACCCACCCGGCUGCGGGAGGCUCAACGGUCGCUUAAGCCCCAGCCGCUACUCAGGCUGGAAAGCCCCAUGAAGGCCUUCCAGCUGUAGACGUUGGCUCCUUACCCAUUGUUCCCCCUCAAACACCUCAAGUACCACCUCCUAGUUCACCACCCUAUGUAGGUGUUCCCAAAAUGGCUUGUGGACUCCCUGAAGGGACUACAAAAAUGGUAACAGAGCCCGUUGUUACCAUUCUUGUCACACCUCGUACACUGAGAGGUGAGUAGCGAGUCCUGAGGUUUUCUAGCUUGUUAGCGGUAGCCUCUACAGUAUUUUCCGGAUCCCCUUGAGUAAGGACCAUAUGCUUUACUCGAGAUAGGUCAUUGGAGUAGAAUGCCGUACGGACACAUGAAGAGAGACCUUGCACGACGACGAGGGAUGAAACCAUAUUUCCAAAUACCACAAGUAUACUUACCCAUGUAGCUCUUCGUACCACUUUUUAGAGAAACCUAACCAUUCUCUUCACUACACUUCGUUUGAAUGGGACCCUACGAUCUAGUAGAACAACGACCACCGGACGGAAUGCCUUAGAGGACAUUUCUCUUACAGUAGUUCCUUACACUUCUCCUUCGUCCUUAUGGUUCUAGGUACAGUUGGUUGCGAUGAAGACAACCUCGGCAAAGAAUGUACCUAUAGUUACCCAAAUCUAUGUUUUCCCUACAAGACAAGACGAUACUGGAAUCUGAAGGAAAUCUAAAGCAAGGAUUAUUACUUCUACCUCUUCAACUAUCGAAGUCCGAUUAGGGACAUGGUGUACGACGUUUGUAAUAUGCCUCCUGUCUAAAAAAGUUCAGUUUGACGUUGGAACACUAGUAACUGAAGGAGAAGGCAGUACCCAUGUAUUUGGGUCUGACAUUACCUAUGGACUUCGACGACUGUUCGAACUCCUCACCACUAACAAGGAUCCCGAACGUCAAGCGACACGUUUGUCUUCUUAGUCUAAUGGUCGUAAUUAGCAACUAAAGAACCUCGGACUUCGACUUGUUGCGCUCGCGAGAGUAGGUCGUCUUACCUUGAAGCUCUAGUGAGAAAUAGUUCGACGUAACUCGAAGCUGAUUAGUUCGGGCUUUGUUACCCUUCGUGACUCCAAAUGUUAGCUCCAGGACGACAGGCUCCAAAAGUGGAUGAGAAGCUGGAAAAAACGUAUAUCCCUUUACUCAACAGGUACUUAUAGUUAGUUCAGUUCUUUGAGUCUUUCUUUAAUCGCUGUUUUUUGUUGUUCUAGAAACAGACGUGUUACUUCUUCUGUAGUCAAGUGAUGUUCUACCGGAAAAGUUUCGUCAAGUGACUACUAAUGGAGAGUUUGGUGGACAUACCAAUCCUCCGCUCCUUCCAAAAGUAUGUUGUGAGUGCCAAAUUAUAACUUCAUAAGGACUUCUCCUGCUUACUACCUGCUAGUUAGUAGGUGUCCGUGACCGGAUUUCAACGUUUCUGGAAGUUAUAGUUACUUCCGAGUUAUAAGUGAAAGGCGAAGUCGUCAAAAGAUCUACUCUACGUAGACAGAUACAUGGUAGAUGCUACGAUUAAAGCUUUCCAAGAUCUACAACGUACACUUUGAACCACGACCACGUCAAUACAUUACCCCAUCGAUUCACGACUUCGACGUACUACAUAAAGUUAAUACUUUAGAGCG